rnacentral:rRNA from 1 species
CCUACGGGAGGCAGCAGUGGGGAAUCUUGCGCAAUGGGCGAAAGCCUGACGCAGCCAUGCCGCGUGAAUGAUGAAGGUCUUAGGAUUGUAAAAUUCUUUCACCGGGGACGAUAAUGACGGUACCCGGAGAAGAAGCCCCGGCUAACUUCGUGCCAGCAGCCGCGGUAAUACGAAGGGGGCUAGCGUUGCUCGGAAUUACUGGGCGUAAAGGGAGCGUAGGCGGAUAGUUUAGUCAGAGGUGAAAGCCCAGGGCUCAACCUUGGAAUUGCCUUUGAUACUGGCUAUCUUGAGUACGGAAGAGGUAUGUGGAACUCCGAGUGUAGAGGUGAAAUUCGUAGAUAUUCGGAAGAACACCAGUGGCGAAGGCGACAUACUGGUCCGUUACUGACGCUGAGGCUCGAAAGCGUGGGGAGCAAACAGGAUUAGAUACCCUGGUAGUCCACGCUGUAAACGAUGAGUGCUAGUUGUCGGCAUGCAUGCAUGUCGGUGACGCGNGCUACGCAUUAAGACACUCCGCCGUCGGGGAGGUACGGUCGCAGAAUUAAACUACGAAGAAGUAGACGCGNGAGACGUGCCGACGGACGACGACGAGGGAGGAGG